AUUGCACUCCAGCCUGGGCGACAGAGCGAGACUCCAAAGGGAAAUCCUCGCGUAUGAUGGAGGGGAGACUCCGCGCGGGUCGGCGCGGUGCCGGAGGUUGGCGGCGGCGACGACGCUGGGAUGCGCGGGCCCCAGGUUCGUGUCCGCCCAGGACCCAGGAAUGCGACCUUAUUUGGAAAUAGGGCCUUUGCAGAUGUGGUCGAGAGGAGCCCUCGUGGGUUAGGACUGGCCCCAGAGCCAGCGUUCUCCUGAGAAGCAGGCUCUGGAUACGGACCAGGGAGACGCCUGUGGCCCCCAGGCGGCCGAGGACCCCUGAGGAGCCGGCCCUGCCCAGGCUGGGUUUGGACGCUGGGCCCCGAGGGCAGAGCGUUUGAGGUUCCUCUUUACUGGGUAACUUGAACCGGGAAGCGAACGCAGAGGCCGGAGUGCAAUGGCGGACCAAAGUGCUGGGAUUACAGGCAAGCCACCGCGCCCGGCCCGUCCUUGACUUUAAAAUGAUUUAAUUUUUGUCAACUUGUCAGCUCAAAAUGGCAUCUUGUCAUUUAGUUCCUGAUGAGAGUGGGUGUCUUUGUUCACUGGCCAUUUGUAUUUCCUCCUCUGUUUAUGGCCUUUGUCCAUUUUCCUUAUAGGUUUUACGAAUUUUUUUAAAUAUAAAAUUUAUUUAAUAUAAAUUUAAAGUAGAGACAGGGUCUCCCUGUGUUGUCCAGGCAGGUCUCAAACUCCUAAGCUCAAAUCCUAAAGUAUUGGGAUUACAGGUGUGAGCCACC
rnacentral:lncRNA from 1 species